rnacentral:misc_RNA from 1 species
GAAAUGCGAUAAGUAAUGUGAAUUGCAGAAUUCCGUGAAUCAUCGAAUCUUUGAACGCACAUUGCGCCCUCUGGUAUUCCGGGGGGCAUGCCUGUCCGAGCGUCAUUGCGAACCCCUCAAGCACGGCUUGUGUGAUGGGCCCUCCCGCGUCUUGGUCGUCAAGACGGGCCCGAAAUGCAGUGGCGGCUUCGCGGUUAUCCGAUCAGCCAGAGCGUAUGGGAACUUUCUCUCUGUCACACGCCCGCGGCGCGGACCGACGCCUGUCGACCUUCAUUCAUCGUUUUCUCGGUUGACCUCGGAUCAGGUAGGGAUACCCGCUGAACUUAAGC